rnacentral:rRNA from 1 species
AUUGAACGCUGGCGGCAGGCCUAACACAUGCAAGUCGAACGAGUGGCGGACGGGUGAGUAAUGUCUGGGAACCUGCCUGAUGGAGGGGGAUAACUACUGGAAACGGUAGCUAAUACCGCAUACCAGUAGAUGUGCCCAGAUGGGAUUGGCUUGUUGGGUGGGUAACGGCUCACCAAGGGGACGAUCCCUAGCUGGUCUGAGAGGACGACCAGCCACACGGGAACUGAGACACGGUCCAGACUCCUACGAGAGGCAGCAGUGGGGAAUAGGGCACAAUGGGCGCAAGCCUGAUGCAGCCAUGCCGCGUGUAUGAAGAAGGCCUUCGGGUUGUAAAGUACUUUCAGCGGGGAGGCGUUACCCGCAGAAGAAGCACCGGCUAACUCCGUGCCAGCAGCCGCGGUAAUAC